AUUGAACGCUGGCGGCAGGCCUAACACAUGCAAGUCGGACGGUAGCACAGAGGAGCUUGCUCCUUGGGUGACGAGUGGCGGACGGGUGAGUAAUGUCUGGGGAUCUGCCCGAUAGAGGGGGAUAACCACUGGAAACGGUGGCUAAUACCGCACAACGUCGCAAGACCAAAGAGGGGGACCUUCGGGCCUCUCACUAUCGGAUGAACCCAGAUGGGAUUAGCUAGUAGGCGGGGUAAUGGCCCACCUAGGCGACGAUCCCUAGCUGGUCUGAGAGGAUGACCAGCCACACUGGAACUGAGACACGGUCCAGACUCCUACGGGAGGCAGCAGUGGGGAAUAUUGCACAAUGGGCGCAAGCCUGAUGCAGCCAUGCCGCGUGUAUGAAGAAGGCCUUCGGGUUGUAAAGUACUUUCAGCGGGGAGGAAGGCGGUGAGGUUAAUAACCUCGCCGAUUGACGUUACCCGCAGAAGAAGCACCAGCUAACUCCGUGCCAGCCGCCGCUGUAA
rnacentral:rRNA from 1 species